AGGUCGGCGGUCAGUCGGUCCAGAUCCGGAGAGAAUGUGCAAAUCGCAGAGAGAGAGAGAGAGAGAGAGAGAGAAGGAAAAAGUUUUGAAUCCCUGAAUGAAUUUGUAGAAAGGCGGCUUAGGAUCAUUAUGUCAGCUUUAUUGAGGAAGGAUUAAGCAGAGUCUAGAUGCUACGCCUUAUACUCGGCUCUUUCACAAUGAGG
rnacentral:lncRNA from 1 species